rnacentral:rRNA from 1 species
ACGGGAGGCAGCAGUAAGGAAUCUUGCACAAUGGGGGAAACCCUGAUGCAGCAACGCCGCGUGAUUGAUGAAGGCCUUCGGGUUGUAAAAAUCUGAUCUAAGGGAAGAAACAAAUGACGGUACCUUAGGAGAAAGCCCCGGCUAACUACGUGCCAGCAGCCGCGGUAAUACGUAGGGGGCAAGCGUUAUCCGGAAUUAUUGGGCGUAAAGAGUGCGUAGGUGGUUACCUAAGCGCAAGGUUUAAUCUUGAGGCUUAACCUCAUUCUGCCUUGCGAACUGGGCUACUUGAGUGCAGGAGGGGAAAGCGGAAUUCCUAGUGUAGCGGUGAAAUGCGUAGAUAUUAGGAAGAACACCGGUGGCGAAGGCGGCUUUCUGGACUGUAACUGACACUGAGGCACGAAAGCGUGGGGAGCAAACAGGAUUAGAUACCCUGGUA